CCGGUAAACGGCGGCCGUAACUAUAACGGUCCUAAGGUAGCGAAAUUCCUUGUCGGGUAAGUUCCGACCUGCACGAAUGGCGUAAUGAUGGCCAGGCUGUCUCCACCCGAGACUCAGUGAAAUUGAACUCGCUGUGAAGAUGCAGUGUACCCGCGGCAAGACGGAAAGACCCCGUGAACCUUUACUAUAGCUUGACACUGAACAUUGAGCCUUGAUGUGUAGGAUAGGUGGGAGGCUUUGAAGUGUGGACGCCAGUCUGCAUGGAGCCGACCUUGAAAUACCACCCUUUAAUGUUUGAUGUUCUAACGUUGGCCCCUGAUCGGGGUUGCGGACAGUGUCUGGUGGGUAGUUUGACUGGGGCGGUCUCCUCCUAAAGAGUAACGGAGGAGCACGAAGGUUGGCUAAUCCUGGUCGGACAUCAGGAGGUUAGUGCAAUGGCAUAAGCCAGCUUGACUGCGAGCGUGACGGCGCGAGCAGGUGCGAAAGCAGGUCAUAGUGAUCCGGUGGUUCUGAAUGGAAGGGCCAUCGCUCAACGGAUAAAAGGUACUCCGGGGAUAACAGGCUGAUACCGCCCAAGAGUUCAUAUCGACGGCGGUGUUUGGCACCUCGAUGUCGGCUCAUCACAUCCUGGGGCUGAAGUAGGUCCCAAGGGUAUGGCUGUUCGCCAUUUAAAGUGGUACGCGAGCUGGGUUUAGAACGUCGUGAGACAGUUCGGUCCCUAUCUGCCGUGGGCGCUGGAGAACUGAGGGGGGCUGCUCCUAGUACGAGAGGACCGGAGUGGACGCAUCACUGGUGUUCGGGUUGUCAUGCCAAUGGCACUGCCCGGUAGCUAAAUGCGGAAGAGAUAAGUGCUGAAAGCAUCUAAGCACGAAACUUGCCCCGA
rnacentral:rRNA from 1 species